AUGAAGCGCAAACAAGAGCGUAACCGCAAGAGCUUGGUUGUAGCGCUCAACACAUAUGCCAAGCGAAACAAUAUGCAGAUUACUGACUUGGAAUUUGUGGAAGAGAAAGAAAGGAAUCUAGUUGGUGGAGUUGCAGCAGGAUAUGUGCAUUCCAACUUUGUUGCAAAAGGUGUGGAUGGCAGGCCCACUUUGUUCUUUGCUGAGAUGCUCCAUGGUUGCUUCUUGCAAGAGCAUGUUAUUCUCUGCACUCCUUUGGAAGAUACGGACUCUGGUUGUUGUUUUGGGUGCAAUCAGCAUGCAAGGAAGCUCAGGCAUCCCACAUGUGGUGGCUACUUGGGUGGACUCGAGGAUGUGCCGUUUCCUUACGUGGAGGAGGACAGUGAUGAUGAUUGCCUUCUUGAUUGA
rnacentral:rRNA from 1 species